UUGGGGAUUUUGUUCACUUUCAUCGUUAUGAAGCUUAAUCUUACCACCGGAAUCAUUCCUUCUCUCAACGUCUCCGCCGGACUGUUAGGGUUUUUCUUCGUGAAGACUUGGACGAAAUUCCUUGAUAAAUCUGGUUUGCUGAAGCAGCCUUUCACGAGGCAAGAGAAUACUGUGAUUCAGACGUGCGUCGUUGCUACCUCCGGCAUUGCUUUCUCCGGUAAGUCCAAUUGAUUCCUCCCUAUUACUCGAUCACACACACACAAACACAGAGUUGAAUUAGUUCUUUACACGUCUGUGUGAUUCUCGAAUUUGCAUUACAAAAAUCUCAAAUCUACAAAAAGUCCGAACAACAUCGAUGACUAUGAGUAUGAGAUCAUCAAAUAUUUAGACAAGAAUCAAAUAUCUACUUUGGUUGCUUGCAAAUAUAUUAAAUUAAAAGAGGUUGUGCUUUGUUUCUCUAUAUUAUGUUAUUGAGUAAUUUUUUAUUUGAUUAAGUACUUAGUAGGUGGAAAUAUAGCUGUAUAAUUUGUGCAUUUAUUUUAAUUUAAUAAAAAAAACAUUAUUAUUAUUUUAUAAACAAAUAUAUUAUUAAUCUCACUUCAAGAGUCAAACACCUUCAAUAAUAAUAUUAUAUAUUUUGAUCUUACCUCAGAUAUAUCAUAUAGUUACUUAUUUUAUUUAAAAAAUCAUUAUUAUUGAUAAUUAAACAUAAACAAAGUGCAUAGUUAAUUCACCCAAUUAAAAUUCAAGUAUAUUGUUAAGAAUUUUAGUAUGAAAUAAAUAAUAAAUUGAACAAUUUGUAUAAAAUAAUAAACUAUAUUUAAUUUAAUAAAUUUGUAUAUCUCCGUGGUUAUCGGGAGGACGAAAAUACGACGUCAUUCAUUGCGAUUUAACUUUCUAUUAAAAGAAGUCAUAGCUUGACAUAACGUAUAGUCCAAAGGUCUUUAAUAAAUAAGUUAUGGCCUCGUGGGACCCAAUUAGAUAUAAAUAUCUAAAUUUUGAUAAAUUGUGAUAAAUAAUACAGAUUGUCUAUUAAUAAUAGAUCAUAUUAACAUGGUUUACAUAGAAACAAAAUAUCAAACUUAGGUGCUUUUAUUGGAAACUGAAACAUAAUAGUCAAACAAAAAAUUAACUAAAAUAUAAUUUUUUUUAUAUAUUUUUUCCUAAAACAUAAGAAAGUUGUCCAUGUUUAUCCAUAGUCUUUUACAACCAAUCAUCCGUAUAAUUUUUGAGUACAAAAUAAAAAUAAAAAAUAAAUAUACAAGAUUACCAUAGAAAAUAGAGAUAGAACCUAAUGCAAGUUGAGGUUGGCUGCCAAUCCCAAAUCGCAACCAAUAACCAAACACGUGUCGUGUUAUUAAUGGAUAUGUUUUAUUUUAUUUUAUUUUUCUUUUGCACUUUAAUAACUAUUUUAAUUGUAAUAUGUUUAUAAAAAAUAUAUAUUAGAUAAGAAGAUAUACAAAAUUUAUGGUUAUUAAUUAUUUACAAAUAAAAUAGAGUAUUAAUGUAUUUUUAUAUAUUUCUGAAACUUAUAUAUAAAAAAUAUGUUUUUGGUGGUUUAUAAAUGAUAAAUAUAUAAAAUUGAUCGGAUGAAUAAAAAAUUAAUAUUUAACAUAAACUGAGUUGUAAGCGGUUGCUCAUAAAUGUAGUCAUAUAUUACAUUACAUUUGUCCUAAGUUUUUAUGAAAACUUAUUACAAGAAAUUUUAAAUAAAUAUAUUUGUCUUUUUCUUUUUCCCUCCUUUCAAUUUUCAUGAUUGUCGUGUUCCAUUUUGUUCAUGAUGGUUUGUGUAUAAUGCGAACCCAAUCAAGUCAAGUGAUUUUUAGUUUAUAAUACUACUUUUAUGGAUUUGUUUUUAAAUUAUGAAAUCUGAAUCUAUGUAAUAAUUCAAUCAUUAUUAUAUUAUUAUUAUUAUUCAUUUAUUCUAAUUACAACAUUUUGUUUUAUCCGUAUAUAUUUGAUUCUUAAUCCAAUAAAUAUUUCUAAGUGGAAAAUGGAAAGCCAAUACAUUAUAUACAUAGAUGAAUAAAAAAUUAUAUUCCUAUUUUUCCAUUUAGUCCUUGUAAAUAUGAAUGACACACGAAAUGACCCUCGUAUUAAAACAUAACGUGAAAGUAACGGGUGUGGCACCAAAAUAGGCGUGAAUAGAGGAGGGUAUUGAAAUAUUGAUCAUGUGGACCAGAUUCCAUCAUCUAAUUGACUUUUUAUGAGUCUACAAGUCCCACUGGAUAGUGGAUCUCACCCACGCUCUAUUGUUUUUUCUUAUUAUUUUAAUAAAAAUAUUAAACUAUCAUAAUUUAUUUCAUCUUAAAAUAGAUGUGAUGGUAAAAAAAUAGUAUUACUUAAUUAUUAACUACAAACAAGUCAACGAGCUCGAAUUUAAUUUGAUUGUGAUAGUUUUUUUUGAAUGGAAAAACUAUAUAAAAAAAAAAAUCUAAUUGUGGAUGCUAAUCGGAUAAAGAUUGAUUUUUUUUUUUUAAAAAGCUGAAAUAAAAAUUCAUUUUUUUACUUUUGUGGUUGAAGGUCGUAAUCUAUACAAAUAAAAAACAAGUCACGUAUAAUUAAAGUAAGGUGGUAGGGGGGUUUUCAUGUGGGCCACAUGAAUGAGUUAUAUAUCGAAAUCCCGAGCUGGCAAUUGAAAUCCGUGAACAUGCUCAUAAGUCAUACAUCUCAUUCACCUCAAACAUUCACAUUUCACACACAAACAUUGAAUCAAAUAUAAGAAAUAGCAAAAUAGCAAAUACUUUUAAUAAUAACAAAUAACACAGAAACAGUUUUGCUUCUUGUCUAACAUCUAGAUAUUUCAUUGUUAGGAGAAAAUUGUAUCCAAAUUUAUACACUUAUAAAAGUUUGAGAAAUUAAAUAUCCUCCAACUUUUUCUUCCUAUUCAUCCUUUUACCGUAUCAAAUGUUGACAUGCUGUCAUGCUUAAUUACACAUUUAAUGAAAUUAAUAAUAAUUUAGUCCACUUUUAUAUGGGUAGGAGGAUAGUAAUAAAAAAAAAUAGAAGAAUAUUUAAAUUUCUCUAAAAGUUUAUACCUUUCCUAGAACAAAGAUAACUUUUGGCAAUAAUAAAUCCGUACAUAUCUAUCGCCUAUGCAAUCUUUACCUUUUCUAAAGAUAUUUUAUGUCACUAUCCUGCCUAGUACCUUCUUCCAUCUUUCUAAAAAUUACAAACUUUAUCCAUACAAGUUUAUGUAAAUAAAUCAUACGAAUCACAACUUAUGCAACGUAAACGAAUCAAAAUAAAACAUUAUUACUGUAGUAAAACUCACUAAAAAAUACCCUGAAUUUUUGUGGUUUUGGCGUUUUGUUUAUAUUAAGUAUAUAUGGAUUUAUCUCACUACAAUUGAUGGGUUUUUUUAGGAGGAUUUGGUAGUUACUUGUUUGGCAUGAGUGAAAUUAUUGCCAAACAAUCACAUGAAGCAAACGCUGAACAAAACACCAAGAACCCUUCUCUUGUUUGGAUGAUUGCAUUUCUCUUCGUUGUUAGCUUCCUUGGCCUCUUUUCCGUUGUCCCUCUUCGCAAGGUACAUUUAAUAAUUAAUAACCCUCUCAGUCUGUCAGUCUGUCUCAGUCUGAGCAUCUACAGUGUGAGAAUUUUAAUUCCAAUGUGGAUUUACAUAUGCUAUAUGGGCCAGCUUAGAAGUUGUUGGGAGAAUAAUACAAUAUCUUCUUUUGUGUAUGUUAUGUGUUUUAGUAAAAAAUAAAUUUCCCUUAGUUAAUAAUAUAAUUUUUUGUUAAUUUCAUUGUGUUGCAGAUAAUGAUUAUUGAUUUCAAACUGAUUUACCCAAGUGGAACAGCAACAGCUCACCUUAUCAACAGUUUCCACACUCCCCAGGGUGCCAAGCUGGCCAAGUAAAACCACAAUCACUUUUUCUUUAAUUUGUAGUUCUUUUUUUUUUAACUCUAAUGAUUUUAAUUAAUUACUACAGGAAACAAGUGAGAGCUUUAGGUAAAUUCUUUUCCUUUAGUUUCUUAUGGGGCUUCUUUCAAUGGUUCUUCACGGGUGGAGAUGGAUGUGGAUUUUCAAGCUUCCCAACAUUUGGUCUUAAGGCCUAUGAAAAUAAGUAUGUGUCUUUUUAUCGUUAAAUGCACGAAAUAGCAACGUACUUUCAGUUAAAAUUCAUGAUUUUAACUGAAUUACAGUUUUAUUUUUUAAAAAUCUAGAAAGUAUUUGUUAUUAUAGUCUUAGUUAUUAGCUUUUAUUACAUCAAAUAUUCUUGUCAACAAGUUUCUUUUUCCAUCAAAACCAGGUUUUUUUUCGACUUUUCAGCAACUUACGUUGGUGUGGGCAUGAUUUGCCCUUAUUUGAUCAACGUAUCUUUACUAGUCGGAUCAAUCCUUUCAUGGGGUAUAAUGUGGCCACUCAUAAACGAAAAAAAAGGCGAUUGGUACCCUGCAGAUCUCAAGUCAAGCAGUCUACACGGCCUUCAAGGUUACCGGGUAAACUUCUCAACUCCAAGACUUUACACUGCAUUUGUACACUGUACAUGACAUGACAUGACACAACCAUUCCACAAUUUAUCAAAAAAAACUUUCUAACCCUAUUUUGUCUACCCCACCUUUUUUAGUAGGUCAAAAAAAGUACAAUUUUUUUCUAUUGUGUCAAUGUCAGUAUCAUGCACGUCAAACACAGUAUAACCUUUUUCUGUUAUGUAAUUAUGUAAUUGCAGGUAUUCAUCGGUAUAGCUAUGAUCCUUGGAGAUGGGCUCUACAACUUUGUAAAAGUCCUCGGCCACACAUUAUACGGAUUAUACCACCAAUUCAAAGACCAUAGAUUCAACCCCAACACCCCUAUAACCGGCAACUCUCCCCCGGACCUCCCCUCCCUAUCAUACGACGACCAAAAACGCGCUCGCUUAUUCCUCAAAGACCAAAUCCCAGUAUGGAUCGCCAUCACCGGCUACCUCACCAUCGCCAUCGUCUCCGCCGCCACUCUCCCCCACAUCUUCCACCAACUCAAAUGGUACUACAUCGCCACAAUUUACAUUUUCGCCCCCGCAUUAGCCUUCUGCAAUGCCUACGGAUGCGGCCUCACCGAUUGGUCGUUAGCUUCAACCUACGGAAAGCUCGCGAUUUUCGUAAUCGGUGCAUGGGUCGGCGGCGAGAACGGUGGGGUUCUAGCGGGGUUAGCCGCUUGCGGUGUCAUGAUGAAUAUUGUCGCCACCGCGUCGGAUUUAACGCAGGAUUUCAAGACCGGGUACAUGACACUGGCGUCGCCCCGGUCCAUGUUUGUGUCCCAAGUGGUUGGGACCGCGAUGGGGUGUGUCAUUUCCCCGUGUGUCUUUUGGCUUUUCUACAAAGCGUUUGACGACCUCGGAAUCCCCGGUUCCGAGUACCCUGCGCCGUACGCGUUGGUUUACCGAAACAUGGCGAUCCUCGGAGUCGAAGGGUUUUCGGCGUUGCCCUCUCGGUGCCUUACGCUUUGUUAUAUCUUCUUUGCGUUUGCGAUUUUCGUGAACGGAAUCCGUGAUUCCGUCGGGAAUAAUUGGGCGAGGUUUAUUCCGAUUCCGAUGGCGAUGGCGAUUCCGUUCUAUAUCGGAGGGUAUUUCGCGAUUGAUAUGUGUGUUGGGAGUUUGAUUUUGUAUAUUUGGUCGAGGGUUAAUAAGGCGAAGGCGGAUGCGUUCGGGCCCGCGGUGGCUUCGGGGUUGAUUUGUGGCGAUGGGAUUUGGACACUCCCGAGUUCGAUUCUUGCUUUGGCGGGUAUUAAUCCUCCGAUUUGCAUGAAGUUUCUUUCGAGAUCAAGUAAUAUUAAAGUUGAUAGUUUUUUAAAUCCGUAGAUUGUUUUUACGAAUAUUUUAGGUUAUACAAUUGUAAAAAUGUUGUUUGGAAAAUGAUCGUGUGUCUUUUUUUUUUUUUUUUUAGCUUUAUAUAUGUUUGAAUUUGGAUUCGUGAGCUCGAUGUUAUUGAAUAUUGAAAUGUGUUCAGUAAUAAAAGUUUCAUUUUUAGUCGUGAUUCGGAGUCGAGUGGUUGGGUUUUUGUUGUUUACAAUGGUAUUUCGGGACUGUACUUUCCGGAGCACUCAUUUUAGUACACGACGACUUACUAAAAUAAAUGUUUCUACAAAGAAUAUAAAUCUUAUAAAGUUGUAUACUUGUAUUCCAGUUAUGUUGUUUGUAUAUAGCCUAGUCCUACACUUGGCCCAUUGUAAUCUACACUAUGUUUUAUCCGAAAAGAAAAUGACAAAAAUAACCAUUUACACUAAUUACAUUACAAAAAUAGCCAAAAAAACCGAAGUUGGUAAAAUAACCAUGAAUUUCGCAGAUGGAAUAGUCCCAUCUGCGAAAUGGGCUUUCCAUCUGCAAAUGUACAAACAGCUAAAGCACAACUGUGUUUUAGCUGCUUGUAUAUUCGCAGGUGGUUUAUUUUUUUUCUCUAUAUAUAUUGAAAUUGUAGGGUAAAAUCGCAGAUGAAAUAGCCCCAUCUACGAUUUACUCUGAUUUCAUCUGCGAAAUUGCGGUUAUUUUUUAUUUUUUUAUUUUUUAUUUUUUAUAGUUUGACUAUGAAAUCAAUUGGUUUGUAGCUCGGUUAUAUCUAAACGUACAUCACCAACAUCAACAUAAUGCCCGUAAACAUGCUUUUUUUUCAUUUUUUUGACUUGAAUUUUUUUUCUUUUUAGUUUUAUCUACCACACGCCUAUUCAUAACUUUAACUUCUUGUUCAGCAACAUUAUUUCGUAGUCAAACCAAUUGAUUUCAUAGUCAAACUUUAAAAAAAAUUAAAAUUAAAAAAAAUAAAAUAAAAUAACCGCAAUUUCGCAGAUGGAAUAAGAGUAAAUCGCAGAUGGGGCUAUUCCAUCUGCGAUUUUACCCUACAAUUUCAAUAUAUAUAGAGAAAAAAAAUAAACCACCUGCGAAUGUACAAGCAACUAUAGCACAGUUGUGCUUUAGCUGUUUGUACAUUCACAGAUGGAAAGCCCAUUUCGCAGAUGAGAUUAUUCCAUCUGCGAAAUUCAUAGUUAUUUUUGCAACUUCGGUUUUUUUUUGGCUAUUUUUGUAAUGUAAUUAGUGUAAAUGGCUAUUUUUGUCAUUUUCUCUUUAUUCAAUCGUUAAUGCAAAGACUGGAAAAUAUUCUAAACCUAAUAUGAUAUCAAAGUUGCAAAGGACUCUUACUACCAAUCCACUCCUUCCUCGACCUACCAUCACCGACGGAUGAUGCCUCGCUAACCCCUACUAGAAAAUAAAAAAUAAGAAACACUAUAUAUAAUAAGGGUAUAACUAGUUAUGUGUGUCUUGAUUUGCUCAUCGUCACAUGUAUAUAUAGAUGGAGAUAUAUCUUAAUGUGAGAGAUGGAAGGGAUCUUGAAUUAAACUGGGAACUCAACUCAUAAGAUAAGUAAUAUUCUAUAAAUCGGUCUAUCAACAAUUUAUAUUCUUACCAUAAUAAUUGGAUUUAAUGAUAACAUUACAUAUAUAUGAAGUGGUCUCAUAAUUAUCUAGCAAUCUCCUACUGAACCACGAAUAUAUAAAUGUACGUAUAACUGUAUAAGCACUUUAAUGAAUGUUAUCAUAAUAUUGAUACCCUUAAACAAUCUCGUCCACUAAUCAUAAUAUAGGAUCAAAGUGAUAUUUGUUACAAUUUACGUAACUAAACCCAUUAAUGGACCAUUUUUUUGAAUCUUGAAGAACUAAACCGACUCUUCUAAAACUCCUUCUAGUUAAAAGAUUGUAGCGAUUUUUGUGAGUUACGCUUAUGGUUGGUGAAACUGUAUGGAUAUAUGUUUUUCUUUAUUUAUGUAUCAAAAACAACUUUGAUCUCCUUUCGGUUGUUGUCAAAAGUCUUGACAACAUCGACGUGUAGUCUUUUAUAUUUUCUUGAAAGACGACGCACAUCGAAAUCCUCUAGACAAGUAUUACACAAAGGAUCAAACUAUUAUUAUUUUAUUGUUUUUCUGACUUGUCUACAUCACUUGGUCUUGGUACCCUGUGCUCUUGUGUUUCCGGAUUUUUUACUACUCGUUUUAUUUUUUUUAAUAGAAUUUGGGAAUUUAAUUAAUAAGUAUAAAAGCAUGGUCCUAAUUCCUUUACGCCUAUCUAUUCUGUCUAUCCAUUUGGUUGUACGUUUUAAAGUCUAAAUAAUUAUAUGUGUGAGAAAUUCUUUAUGUAAUUUGCAAAUCUAUUAUUUGGAGCCAUAGAUUUUUUACGGCCUAAAGGAAAAAGGAAGGGCACAAAAGAAAAAACAAAACAAAACUUACAAAAUGUUAAAAGGGGAACAAACCCAACAUUCCCAUCUAUAAUUUCCAAAAUUAUCCAUAUAUUUCAACGAACUAAAAACCAUAGAAAUCACAUUAUCCGCCAACUUUGAAGAGUUCACUUAGAUUCUGUUAAACCAAACGUCGUUCAUUGCUUUCCACGUACACCAUAGAAACUCAUAGCAGAUAGCAAGAAAUAUUUUUUUCUUUUUUGGACAGUUUCCCAUGAGGCAGCAAAAUUAACAAAAUCUGAAAUCGAAAGGAAUCUUUGAAUAGAAAUGCCACAACAAUUGGAAAUCCAGCGUAGGGAAUCAAAAGCAAUCGGACAGUCCAAGAGAAUAUGAUUCGCAAUGUCCACACCACUAAAGCACAUUUGACAGGAAAUAUAAGACAUGUUGAUACCUCUCUUGGAACGAACCACUGCAGUAGGAAUACACCCCAUACAAGCCCUCCAAACAAAACUAAUGCACUUGACAGGAACUAAGUGAAGCCAAACCGUGGGGUUAUUUAUCGGGAUAGUCAAUUUACUGUCAAUGAGGUCCCUAAGAUCGCAUACACGGAAAAAAACCAUCGACAGUUAACCUUGAUCUCCAAGUGUUAGGCCCAUUGGAUCUCACAACCAUCCUUGUAACAUCCAAAAUAGAUUUCAAUUCCAACAACUCCUGAGAAUUGUUGGGUUUCCGCUUCCAAGUCCACGAGAAAGCACUAUUCACCCAUCUAUCAGCUAAAAGGCAAGUUUUCCUCUUGUCUAACGCAUAUAAAGAAGGGAAUUUCACUACCAAAGUCCCGUUCUUUAGCCAAUCAUCUAUUGGGUGAUUGUCACACCCCCAAUCCAGGGGUGGAGGACUUCAUGUAUAGUAUCAUAACCACAAUGACAAUAGUAAUUCAAGCAAANCAAACCAACCUAUAUAUAUAUAUAUAUAUAUAUAAUUGAAAGAGUUACAUCAUUGUAUGAAUUACAUGUUUCCAAAUCAAUUACAAUAUGUUGACAAAAUAUGAAAAGUUGACACCUUAACGUCUCAUCCUCAAAAUGCACUUGGUCACCUGUUUAGUGAUUUCCUGAGAAUACAAGUUGUUUGAAAAAGUGUCAACACAAAGGUUGGUGAGUUCAUAAGCUUUUGUUUUAAACUUGAUAAAAAGCCUUUCUCUUGUAAAUGUCAUAUUUGUUCCAGAAAAAUCCGAUAUUUUCCUUAAAAUGUGUAAUGUAGUCUUAUAUCCAAAGACUGAAAUGUACAAGUAACCUUUCUUACUUAUAGAAAAUAAUGUAAGUUUAAAUUGACAUAAAUGCGUUUGAAUUCAAUGAAAUUCCCGUAAAUUCUUAUGUUUGUUGAUACUUUCUAUGAGUUAUUAUAACUAUGCUAUGACCUAGUUGGCCUGAAAUGACGUUCUUCAGCCGUCGGAAAUGUUAUGACAUUUGUCACCCCAAACCUGCCGGUCUAACUGUUGCAUGCAGUUAAGGUGUGAGUUUUUCAAUCCCAAUAUAGAUCUAUAUACAACUAUCACGCUCUCCCUCCAGGAGACUCUGGUUACAAUACAGGACUUAUUGGUAAAUGUGAAGUGAAUGUCUCACAAAGUCAUUAACGAAUUUACGUGUAAUGUGAUGAAAAUCCCUUUUUGUAUAAAUGUACCCUUUUUGUAUGAGUGUGUUGUGUAAUGUAUCAUAAACUAUACAUAUUAUAGUUUAUCAAAACAAGGGUAGUAGUGGUAAUGUACGCAAACUAUAUUUAACAUAGUUUAUUCGAGUGUUUGUGUGAAAUGGGUGUACUUUGAUUAUAACAAUUUGUUAUCUUUUAUAUAUGUAUCAAAAUCCAUUUAUUAACUGAUGCAUGUCUAUAUAACCAGACAAAUUGUUAUUUAUUUGCAAUAACAUAUAUUCACAUAAAGAUGUACACCUUGCUCGACAUGUUACAAGGUGAAAUGAAAUUGUAAGUAUUUUUCUGUUAUUAACAGAUUCCAUUACUGUUCUUAGAAAAUUUAUAGAAAAUUCAUAACAGAUCCAAAUCAGAAUCCGUAAAUUCUGGGAGUUUGGAGAAUGAGUCUAGUUUGUUCAUAAAUUUUCCCAUGAUUUUUAGUGACCUACAACUUAGGUGAAAACAUCCAUAAACACAGACUGGUCCAGAUUGGUUCUUGAAAUGAUAGGCCAUUUUGUAAAAAUCACCAUAAAUUGUAGAAAAAUCGUAUGGAAAUAUACAAGUAUCCAUUUUAACGCUAAUAACUUGAACUACUUGCACUUUGUACAGUUUUGAAAACUAAAAUGUUUUAAUUGACCAAAACAGUCCGUGAAUUGAGUCCAACUUUUCUGAUGAAAGCUGUUAGAAGCAUUUAGUUGUGUUCUUGGUGAUUUAACUUGUAUUCCCCCCUUAAAACUUAAGAAAAUAUGAAAAUGUAGGGGUAUGAACUCACAUUGAGUGAUUUUGGUGGAUGGAUGUUGGAGAAGGGAAGUGUUCAACUCAAGAACACUUAGAAUAUUUCUUGAAGAUUCGAGAAUCUAACACAAAUAUGAUGAAGUUUGUGUAAGUAACCCAUGAUUUGAGUAAAAUGGAGUGUAAUAAUCACAAGGAGGAUGAAUUAUAUUUACCAAGAGUGUAAGAAAGCUUGAUGAUCAACCUUGGGAUCUCGAAUUUUUAGAGAGAGAAAGUGAGAGGAAAGUUGUGUUUGAUCUUUGGUAAAAUGAGAGAAAUGAGUGAAGUGAGGGGUGUGGAGUGAUGUUCCAGCUCUAAUACUGUGGGAAAAGGUUGGAAAUGAUGAAAAAUACAUUGACAUGACCUAGGCAUGGUAGAAGGAGUGUAGUUGGUCAAGGAGUGGGUGUGAGUGGUUGCUUGUGCCAUAAGCUAAAGGAAAGUCAACACUCCACCUUUAUUACUCCAACCACUAAAUCUUGGAUUAGAUUUGCAUUAAAAACGUGAUUAAUUAAGACACAUGGGUCUUAAUAUGUUAAAAUAAAGUUUUUGGUGAAAAACCCGCUUUAAAAUGAUGAAAAACGGGCUUAAAAUGCUAAAAAUAUUGAAAAUCGGGCAAAAAUGGUAAAAAUCCAAAAUUAUGGCCGAAGAUGAGAAGGUUCGGCUCCUUAGGAGCUUAGAACCGAAGGGAGGCUCGGUUGCUCAUGGGGACCGAGAGUAGAAGAGGGACCGAGAAAAGGAAAGAGAGAACCGAAAGUAGGAGGAGGGAGCCGAAGGUGCGAGGUUCGGUCUCGGCUGGGCGGUUAGAACCGAGAGCGAGGUUCGGCUCUGGCAGGUUUCGCUUAUGACAAGUUCGGUUUGGCUGCUUUAGAGGUUUCGGUCCUAGGGUUUCAGCUGCUUCAGAGGUUUCGGUCCCAGGGGUUUCGGCUCCUAGAGGGUUCGGCCCUAUAAAGGGGUUUCGGGUCUUUUUAGGUAUUUUACUCGUUCUAACCCCGUUUUAAGCGGUUUUUGACUCGGUUAAGGGUCGGGAUGGCCCGAAGGACUACCAAAAGUUACGGGAACUUUUGAGAGAGAUUUGGGAGAGAUUUAAAAUAGAGAGAGAUAGAGUGAAUACGACUGAGAGAGGUUUCGUUUGUGACAUUUUUGAGUGUCCGGCUUCGCAAUGCAAAGUCCGUAAACCCCAUUAAUCCAUGUUUUAGUGUCCUACACACUCCCGAUGAGUGUGUAGUAGUGUUUUAUCACUUCGGUUCAUUGUUUAGCACUAUCACGACUAAGGAAAAUUAAACACGCGAAUUUUCCAAUUGAUGUUUUCUCAUCAAAAUAGCGAGUUGUUUAGUACUUACAUAAUGAAAACCCUAAUAUAUAAUAGCUAAUUGAGUCGUCCGGUUUGACUUGUUGACUUUGUUUGACUUUGAUGGCAGAAAGCAAAUUUUCUCAUGAAUGUGAUGUCUUUAAACAUUAAGGGGAUGAGGGAAUCUCAUAAAUUUGAUUGGAGCCAUAGAUUAAUCGAAUAUUUUACACAAUGAUUUAUGCAACAACUUAAGUUAAUUUUUCUGAAAGUUGUGUGAAAUACCUAUUCGGGUGUAAGGUAUUAAAUUAAUAUGACAAUGUCAGUUUUGAAUUUUGUGUAAAAUACUUUUGGCUUUUCACUAUAUUGUCAAUGUUACUGUUUUUUAAAUUUGCAAAUUUCAGUUCUCAUAGCUCCAUUUUUUGCGCACUCGAUUAUAUGGCAAAUUAUGAUAGAUUUUGAUUUGAUUUUAUUAUUGUUUUGUUUUCCGAAUACAACUAUGUUCACAUCAUUAUCUCGAUAAUUUAAUUGGCCUAAAGUGUUGUGAGGGCAUUUAAGGAAAUUAUGUGAUAACUACUUUGACAACUUACUAUUAUGACAUGUAAUUUAUUAUCUUGGUAAAUUAAUUGAUACAAUAUAUCAUCAAAUGAUUUUUUUUUUGUGAAAAUUAAUUUACAAAGAACUUAAUAUUUUGGUUAACUUGUUUAUUAAUACUGAUAUUAGCCCACCCAAAGGUAGGUUGAUAUUUGGUAAGAUAAACACAUAUGAUAGUAAACAUGCAAUACUUUUUUUAGGUUAUAUGUCAUUAAUAAGUCAAUCCAAAGAGGGCUUUUUAAUUGACAUGAUUUAUUAUCAAUGUUUAUUAUUAUUCAAUUUUAUGGUUUAUGUGUUUAUUAAUGUGGGUAUUAGUCGACCCAAAGGUUGGUUGAUAUUUGGUCAGACAAACAUAUAUGUGGUGGUAAACAUGUGACAAUUAUUUGGUUCUACGUGAUUAAUAAGUCAAUCCAAAGAGGGGCUUAGUAAGUGACAUAUUUUAUUACUAAUGUUUUAUCACCAAGACAAGGAUAUCUCUUGCAAGUUAGUAUUACUGUCCAAAGACUUGAUAUUAAUGUUGUGUUGAUACCUUGUAAAGAUGUCAUAAAUGAACUUAUUGAUUAUGGUUACUGGAUUAAUGAGUAUUAAAAAAAUAGAUUUGCUUAUAUUCUCAAAACAACAGAUUUAAAUUAUGGUAUUAUAUUUGCUAACAUUGAUCACAUUUAUGAUUCAUGUACUGUACUCAAUGAGAUUAACUUUAGGGAAUGGAAUGAGGGCAUUAUGUUAGUUAUCAAUUACAUGGAUAUUAACCUUGCAUUAUGGACAGAGCAACAUUCUUUGAGGAUUUUGAGUUUGGGGGAGAAGCAAUGUCAAAACAUUAUCCUUAAAGAGGAAUCAAUCUUGAUUCCUAUUAUUGCUUUUGAUAGUAUGCAGAUUAUGAAUCAGUGAUCGACAAUGUUAUUCAAUCUCCUAUUCUGAAUACACAAACUCAACAACCUCAACUUUGGAUAUCCUAUGCACGGUACCAUAUUUUUCAUCAAUUUGUUAUCUCUUUUAGUUUUGAGGUAAAUACAGUAAAUGAUUUUGUGUAUCACAGAUUAAGUGGGAGUAAAUUUAUCUUUCUGGUUUUGGGCAGAUAUCUACGUAACUCAAGUUUGGAUCAUAAGAAAGCAAUCAAAUGGAUUUUGAGAUAUUUAUAUAUACCAAAAGGCUAUAUGCUCAACUAUAGGAAAUUAGCUGUUUUGGAUAUCAUUUUUAUUAAGAAUCUGAUUUUAUUAGAUGCCAAAAUGGUUACUAAUCCAUAUCGAGAUAUUUUUACAUUUUAGCAUGAUGUGCCAUUUCAUGGAAUAGACAUUGAUAACUUCUUCCAUUAUGGCAGAAUAAUUUUUAGCAUGGAAUAUGGUUGCGGAAAUUUAUCACGAGGCUACACAAUAUUGGUAUUGAAAGACCACUAAAGUUGUGAUAAUAAGUCAACAAUGUUAUAUUCCAACAACAGAAGAUCUAUUAAGUCAAAGUAUAUUGACAUCAAGUUUCUUUCUGUUAACAAAAAAGUGUGAAAUGGAAAUAUAUAGCACAUAUGAACAAGCUCUAUGAAAGCGGAUCCGCUCAUGAAGGGAUUACCUCCGUAGGUCUUUCAUGACCAUACUACACAUGUUGGUGUGAUAUUGGGGUUUAGUGGAAGUUUUAUGGUGUUUUAUGUUUUGAUUUAGAACAAUUAUGUUUUUUGUAUAGAAUUAAGAAUGCAGUUAACUCCAAUAUUAGUUGAACUUAUUUGAAGUUUGAUUUCACUUCAAUCUAAAGAGGAACUCGUUUGAAAUAUAUUUAGAUUUUAAAACCACACAUCAUGUUUAAUCCACGUCGUUAGUUAUAUAUGUAUAUGUGACCAGUGAUAGGGUUAGUUACAUAAAUUCUAACGAAGUCGAUAGAAUGCAUAUUAUGAAUCCGUUAAGGACAUGUAACCUAAACAUUCGAUCUACCUUUGGAUCGAUUAAUAUCCGCAUUAAUUAACACAUAAACCAUAAAAUCUAAUAAUAAACAUCGACAAUAAAUCAUGUCAAUUAAAAAGCCCCAUUUUUGAUUGACUUAUUAAUAACAUAUAACCUAAAAAAUUUGUCGGAUGUUUACUAUCAUAUAUAUGUUUAUCCGGCUAAAUAUCCACCUACCUUUUAGUCGAUUAAUAUCCGCAUUAAUAAACACACAAAUCAUUACAUUUAAAUUUUCUUAUAAAUUAAUUUUCACAAAAAACACCGCUUUGACAAUAUAUUGUGUUAAUUAAUUUACUCUUGAAAAAAAAUAACAUGUCAUAACCGAAAAUUAUUGACAACCAAAAAUCAUAAAAGCUUUCAUUGAUAAUAUUUUAACAAAAUAAUAUAUACUUGUUUUAUUUUAACAAAAUAAUAUAUACUUGUCUUUAUUGGACGAUAUCUUUGCUCAAUGAAGAAGAAUUAUAAUAACAAUGAUUAAAUACAAGAUUACAUGGGCCCCAUAGGCUAGGUAACUGCUAGGCUAAAUACAAAUACACACUAUCUAAAUGUACAAUACAAUAAUACAUUAAUACGCCCCCGCAGUUUGAGCGGGAGAUCUAGAGCAAACACUCAAACUGGUCCGAAAAUCUGUAAACAAAGAAGAUGGAAGUCCUUUGGUGAAGAUAGCUACAUACUGAAUGCUGGAAGGAACAUGUAGAACUCUGACUUGACCAGUUGAAACCUUGUCAUACACAAAAUGAAUAUCCAUCUCUAUGUGUUUAGUGUGUUGAUGUUGAACAAGAUUUGUAGACAAAUAAACAGCACUGACAUUAUCAUAGUAAACAACGGUUGCCUUAGAAAGAGGAGUGUGUAGCUCACGAAGAAGAUUUCGUAACCAGCAGGUUCCGACUACUUCAUUGGCCACGCCACGGUAUUCGGCUUCUGCACUUGAACAUGAAACGGUCUGUUGGCAUUUAGAGGACCAAGAUAAAAGAUUAUNAAAUGGUCUGUUGGUGUUUAGAGGACCAAGAUAAAAGAUUAUCACCCAAAAAUACAUAGUAGCCGCUGGUGGAUCGACGUGUGUUAGGGCAACCCCCCCAAUCAUCAUCAAAAUAGGCUAUGAGAUUUGUGGUGGGAGAGUGAUGAAGUUGAAUCCCAUAGUCUAACGUCCCAUGAGCAUAUCAGAAGAUACGUUUAAGAGCAUGAAAGUGAGGUUCGUGGGGAUCGUGCAUGAAUAGAUAAAUCUGUUGCACGGUAUAUGAUAAGUCUGGGUGAGUAAAGGUGAGAUACUAGAGACCACCUGUGAGGCUUCGGUAUAGGGUCGGAUCAGUGAUAGGAUCGCCUAAAGAAUCUAGUUUGGACUGAGUAUCAGCAGGGGUUUGACACGGGUUACAGGUUAACAUGUUGGCGCACUCCAAGAUUUCCAACGCAUAGUAGCGUUGGGAAAGGAAUAUACCAUUAGAAUCCCGUGUAACAACAAUGCCUAGGAAGUAAGAUAGAUCACCAAGAUCCUUCAUAGCAAAUUCUGAUGCUAGAAGUGAGAUGAUACACUGUAGGAGAUCCAUAGAGGAGGCUGUCAAAAUGAUGUCAUCAACAUAUAACAAUAAAUAAGCCAUCUCCGUAUCCCUGCAAAAUAUAAACAUUGAAGAAUCACAACGACUAUGUGUAAAAUCGAUCCUGGUGAUAUAUGAUGCAAAUCGCUAAAACCAAGCGUGUGGAGCUUGUUUCAGCCCAUAUAGAGAUUUCUGCAAUAGGCAGACAUGGUCAGGAUGUGUGAUGUCUCUAAACCCAGGUGGUUGGUGCAUGUAAACCGUUUCAUUCAGUUGACCAUGUAAUAAUGCAUUUUUUACAUCUAACUGAUGAAUCAGCCAUUUUCGAGAGGUGACAAGACUGAGAACCGUACGAAUCGUAGUCUGUUUGACAACCGGACUAAAUGUCUCAUCACAGUCAAUGCCGAGGCGUUGGCUUUUGCCAUUCGCUACCAAGCGAGCUUUUGUAUCGCUCAAGUGUACUAUCUGCAUUAUUUUUCUUUCUAAAUAACCACAUAGAGCGCACAAUGUUAGCAUAUGUAGGUCUCAGAACAAGGACCCACAUAUUGUUAGAUAUAAGAGCACGAUAUUCGUCCUUCAUGGCAAUGGUCCAAUUGGGGUCCCGAAGUGCUUGAAGGUGAGACUCAGCAAGAGGAGACUCAGUGUUUGUGUGUAGGUUGAGACGAGAGAUAGGUUUGAAUAUACCUGCAUGACCAUGGGUGACCAUAGGGUGAGUUGGUUGAGGAGAUGGUGGAGAUUUAGUGGGUGGUGUUAAAUGGUUGUGAGAAAAAGAAGAGGGUGGUGUGAGAGGGCUAUUGACAGCCGAGUCAGCCUAGUGGUUGUUGUUGGCAAAAAUUGUUGGAUAUAGUGUCUAAGUCCAUAACUUUAUUUGGUAUGUACUUGACCCGACCCGGCAUCGUCCAUUUGGGUUGCAUGGCAUUGAAAUACUUGGAUAGACAAAAUGAGAGAAAGUACACUUGUGAUUAUUAAUAUAUUAUAAUUUCUAAUAUAUUAAUAAUAGUAUUAUUUAAUUAGUGUUGAUCAAGUAUUAAUCUAGUAUUAAUUUGGUGAUCAAAGUGAGACUAAUUAAAUAUAUAGGGUUGAUUAUGACAAUCAUCAAUUCCUUUAUGGUGGAUUAAUGAUCCAUGGUUUAUGGGUUUGGUUAUAACCAUUUGGAGCUCCAUGGAUAGUCCAUGGGAGUUACAAACCCAUGGGUCAUGAGAAUGAAGAGUCAUGACAAUUAUGGGUCUUCUUAAUGAAACCCUAAUUGUGACACCACUAUAAAAGGAACCCUAUAGCAUGCAAAAUCGGCACUAAGAGUAUUCUUGUGAGGGCAUAGCUGAUUUUGAAGUGUAGAAGUAUUCUCUCUAGUUAUUCCAAGGUUGUAGUGUUGUGUGAAGCAUUUGAGGCACAACAUUUGGGGUGCUAGGCUCACAAAGUCUUGAAGGAAUCCAAGCAACAACAAGGUAUGUAUUUCUACUAGUUUUUAUGUUUUAUGUAAUCCCCAUGCCAUGCUAGUUAGGAAAUAACCUUGAAAAAGAAACUUGCAUGUAUAUAGAGAAAACAUAGAUUCAAGGUUAUUAGGGUUGCAUGUACACUUAGGAAGUGUUAGAAUGCUCAAAUCCCAUCAAAAAUAUGGCUGCCAGACUCAUUCCCAGUUUCGGUGGUGGUUGUAGUGGGAAAUUCAGACAAUCGAAAAGCCCUGGAUGUGGGAUUUAUGUCACAUUGUUCGUCAAGAAAAGAAUAAGAAGGUGCUUUGUUGGGUGUCAUGGCUUUAUAUGGAAAGACGUUUUCUUGAAAAACAACGUGACGUGAGAUGAUUAUUUUUCCGGUUUCAAGGUCAAAACAACGAAAGCCUCGAUGUUGGUUAGGAUAACCAAGAAAGAUACAUGGUCUAGAUCUUGGGGCAAGUUUGUGAGGGGUGUGAAGGUGAGGAUAACAUAGGCAUCCAAAGACACGAAGAUGGAGGAAGGAUGGUGGUUUGUUAUAUAGUUUGGAGAAAGGUAUGUCGUUGUUUAUUGAUGAUGAGGGUGUGAUGUUAAUGAGAUGGGCUGCCAUAUGAAGAGCUUCAACCCAAAAGGUGGGCGGAAGAUGGGAUUGAAAAAGAAGAGUGUGAAUAACUUUAUUUAUAGAGCGGAUCAUACGUUCAGACUUUCCAUUUUGUUGGGAAGUGCGGGGACACGAGAAACAGUAUUGGAUACCGUGUUGGUCAAAAAGAGUGUGAAACUUUUUGUUGUCAAAUUCGCCACCAUGAUCACACUGGAAUUGUUUAAUUUCGGUUUGAAAUUGAUUAUUGACAAAAGCACAAAAGUGAAGAAACUUGGAAAAAAAAACAUCAGACUUUUUUCGUAACGGGUAGACCCAAAGAAAGUGAGAGAAAUGGUUAAGGAAAAUAAUUUAGUAUUUAAUACCACUAUAGAUAGUAAUAGGGGAUUCCUACAAAUCCGAAUGAACGAUAUCAAAGCAACUAGAAACAAUGGAAUUAGAACUAUAAAAAGGAAGUUUCACAUGUUUUACAAGUUGACAUGCUUGGCAAUUAUCCGGACUAGAAGUUUUAUUAAAAGAAAUAAAUCGACGAGAAAUUAAAUGAUUAAAAACACGAGCGUCGGGAUGUCCGAGGCGUUGAUGCCACAAGCUAGAGCUACCGGAAACAAGAGCAACAAAUGAGUGGAAUGAGGAUGGUGCGGGAUAGAGAUCACCCGAGCUGUCACACCUAAGCAGGACCUGAGGAGUUUCCAAAUCCUUCACAGUAAAACCAAAGGGGUCAAAUUCAAUAGACACUUGAUUGUCAGUUGUAAAACGAUGCACACAUAUAAUAUUUUUGAUAGUAUUAGGGGUGACAAGAAUGUUAUGAAGAUGUAAAGGACGAUUAACAGAAAAAAGUUUAGAGUGACCGGUAUGAGUAACAGGAAUAGAUAAACCAUUGCCAACAAGAAUAGAUUUAAUGUAUCUCUUAUUGCUAAAAUAUGUGAGUAUACCUGUAUCGGAGGCAAGGUGUGAUGUGGCUUCGAUGUCCAUAUACCAAUUAGCAUCCGCACCGUCAGUAACAUUCAAGGAGUUGAAGGCUUAAGCGAGGUCGGUAGGCUGAUCUUGAGAUAUUGAAGGGAACCACUGCCAUGGAGGCCGAAGAGUCGGAGUGGUAGUGGUGUGAUACGCAGCUACAGUAGCGGAAGAAGGGGAACCAAGAAUGCCCUGUUGAAUUGAAUUGACUGGGCUGGUGAGUUGGGCCUGCGUUGUUGGGUUGCUGAAUUGGUUCUGUAGCCGGGCCAAGAAGGUGGAUACCCCUAAGGAAAAGUCUGUCAAGGUAAGGUGAAUGGAUUCCAAGGAACUGGUUGGGGAUGUUGCAUAUGACUAGACCCAAAAUUAUUCGGGCGACGCGAGUCAGAGUUGCCGCCUCCACGGCGGUUCUGAUUAGGACGAUGAUGCGUGUGUAAACUUAACUAGUUUUAAACCUACUUUAAAUUAUAAAAUAAACACACAAAGGCAGUGGACCUAUCAAUUGUGGUGUAGCUAAAGAAGUAGGGUAUCGAACACAGGGAGCGGUAAAUUAAAACUAAAAACUAAUUCUAUCUAAAUUAAUUAAUAAGUAGGGGUUUUCUCUAGUUUUACAAGACUAGAAAACUUAAUAACUAUCACUUAAACUAAAAGCUAGAAAAGCAAAUAAUUAACUAGAUUCAAUAAUGAGAAGGACUUCUAUUUAGUUCAACUCAAUUGGUCUUAUGGUUGAUAUUAUGAUAAUAGUGCAAUGGAUUAACUCUUUUGUUGGCUACCGAUUCAAGUGAUUAGAUACGCGUUCACUACACUAAUCCUUAGUGAAUAAAUUAACUCAAACAGUGAUCAGUUGUCUAAUUUAAUUAAAUUCCUUAGAUUAAUUAUUCGGGUUAAUUUAGUCUUGCAAUAGUUAACUAAUUUGGUCCUUUAGUUAACUUCUUGUUGAUAGUCAUCACACAAGCUCACACAUGAAUUUACUCAAUUUUCUUAUUAAUUCUAGUUUCAUGUUCAUUAAUCCUAGACAUAUGAUAAAGUGGUCACAUAUGCAUAUGAGGUUGAUAAUCAAAAGAUGUUCAUACUAUUUAAUUAUCUUCCUAUUAACAGAAAAUUAAUUAUCAUUCAUACACAAGGUUCUUUAGCAAGCUAAAACUAACAAAAAUCACCAACAUUGAAUUAAUCCUAUCAAUAAUCAAACCAUAGUCUCAAUUUUGUAUCCCCAAAUAGAAGUUUAAGAGUUUUAGCUCACGAUUAAAGUAAAUAUCAGCAAAUAAACGAAUUAUAAUUGUCUAGCCAUAGUGGAAAACAAAAGAUUAAGUAGAAUGAUGAAAUUUGCCUCAAAGCUCCUUCGGAAUUGGAUUCUAGCUUGUAUCUUCGUUCUCUAGGGUUCUUCAGUUAAUCUCUCCAGAAGGCUUCCAGAAUUCCCCCUUCUCGAUCAGAGAAGUUAUCUUUAUAUAUACGAAAUGACUCGUCGAGUCAGGUGCCGACUCGCUGAGUCCAUCUCUCAAUCCCCGUAUGCGAUAAGUCUUUGGGUCUUUGAGUCAUUAUCUUCUCGAAUAUUCGAUCAGAGUCGCCGAGUAGACGACCCUACUCGCCGAGUAGGUGUUGUUUUUGGUGGUUUUUCUUCUUUGUUCAAUUCUCGAGCUCCCAACCGCUUCUUCUGCUUCCUUUUGCUUCCGAGCUUCACUUUUGGACUGAAAACAUAAUUCAAACACUUUUAAGUACCUUUUGUCCACAUUAUAAACAUAAUUAGCUAAAAAUGAAUAAGAGUCGCCGAGUAGACGACCCUACUCGCCGAGUAGGUGUUGUUUUUGGUGGUUUUUCUUCUUUGUUCAAUUCUCGAGCUCCCAACCGCUUCUUCUGCUUCCUUUUGCUUCCGAGCUUCACUUUUGGACUGAAAACAUAAUUCAAACACUUUUAAGUACCUUUUGUCCACAUUAUAAACAUAAUUAGCUAAAAAUGAAUAAAAAAUAUAUGCUAAAUAUAUGACUAAUUAUGCAAAUAUCAAAAUACCCCACACUUGACUUUUGCUUGCCUCCAAGCAAAACUGAAUUUUAACACAUUAGAAUCACAUAUGACAACUCCAAUCUAACCCAGCCAUUACCCAUACUCCAAAUACUCACAAUCCUCAUAAACAUUCGCCCACUCACCCCGAACUAUGCUCAUUUUAUGCAUCCCUCCGAAUCCAUCCCCAGAAAACCUCUUAACCUCAAGGUAUUUUUGUUUGAGCAACCCAAGCAUACAUAAUCUAGAUAAUUACAAUUUAUGAUACCACAUUGGAGCUCUUUGGAAUUCUUCAUUUCUUUGGCAUUUGAUCUUUGAUCUCUUAGAAUUCACCACUUUGUUGUUUGAUUUUUGGUAUCUUCAACUUUUUGAAUUUCUUUGGAAUUUUUGAUCUUCUAAUUUCAUAUUUGACUUUAAUGCUCCAAAAAUUCUUCAAACUUUUCUUGUAAUUCUCUCUUUCUUUCUUUUAACAUGUAACUCACUUUUUUUUCACUCAAAUCCUACAUGCUUAAGCAGGGGCGCUCAACUUCAACCUUUAUUGGCUAAAGAUAAUAAUUUUCCUGGAUACAUUUCUGGUACACGAUGCUAAACAUAUUGCAUCCCUCAGGCUGAGCGAGGUCGUGGUUUUGUCCCAUGAUUUCACUGGAAUAUGGAAGCCAUAAAUGCACUAGAACGUAUAUAGGCUCAACUAAACAUUUGGGUCUUCAUGCAAUCAUCAACAUAAUUCUAAAAUGGAAUCAUAAUUACUUUUUACCAAAAUUUUCUAAAUUAGCCCCUAAGUCACAUUUUUGGUAUGCAAAAAUUUUCAAAUUAGUCCUAAAUUAAGAUUCUAAAUUUUCUAAUAUGUAACCAACCCCCUACCCCACACUUAUUUUAUGCAAUGCCCUCAUUGCAUAUUAUGCAAAAAAAACAAAAAAUGCAAACUAUAGAGAGAAUUGGAACAAACUCCCCUGGGGUAGCAGUUGAUAGGUUGAUACUCUUUUCUUUAGCUCCAUCUUCAAUUGACUUUAGACAUAGAAAUAGCUUAUCCACAUCUUGGGCAUCAAAUCACAUGUGGGCAGCUCCAAAUAGGCAAGAAAAACAAUGUAAGAUCUUCAAGAAUCGAUAUGGAAGAAUAAAUGGUCAAGUGGUACACUCAACAGUAUCGAAUCAGCAGUCUUGUUGGUAUAAGAUUGAGUGACUCGGCGAGUCAUAUAUUCGACUCGUCGAGUAUAGUCGUGGACAGCUUCGAAAUUGCAAAAAUACAAGGCGACUCGUCGAGUCAGUUAAGUGCACUCGACGAGUAGACCACUGGUUGGAAAAAUUCAGAUUCUGCAUUCGUCUUAGCUUUUGAUAAAUCUUCAAAACUCCUCAUACACUCAUUCACUCAUUCCUUUAGGACCGGACUCGACACCUUAACUCUAAACUCCGCCAUUUCUUGACUCUUUUCCACUCUUUAUAUUUUUCUUUCUCUCUCAAACUCUAGACCCUUUUAUGAAAGCAUUCUUAAUCCAAAAUCUGAAAGUCAUCAAGGCAAUUAAACAUCAAACAUAAAAUAAAAGUCUUAAAUUCAAACACACCAAACCAAAACAAAAACAAAAACAAAUAAAAAAUUGUUCAACUAAGCAUAUGGGAAGUUACCACCAUCGAUAUGCGGAAUAUGGAAGUAGUCAAAAAGUCGAAUGUUGGACUGGUUGCUAAAAUUGAGACUCCUUGCCAUUUGAUCUUGCAUUCUCCUCAUCUCAAUAUUAUACCAGUCCAUUGGCACUUCAUCAUUAUCCACCGAAAUUACCGGCGGUUCCUCCUCCACGUCUUGCUCUCGCCUCGGCCUAACCUUCCUUCCCGGCGCCUCGGGACCAACCACCGGAUCAUCAUGUGGGAUAGCAUAAUGACCACCACCAUAGUCCUCAAUAAUCCUAGCCCUCCAAAAAAGAAUGGGAUUAAAUGGAGGGGUAGGAAUCAACGUCAUCAAACGGGUCAUCAACCCAAACGAGUUGGCUAGCCGGGUGACAAACAUGCCACCAUUAAUUUUUGAGGUUUUGCGAUCCUUGACCGCACCCUCCGCCAAAUAGGAAGCCAAACACCAUGGAAUGUUGCAAAAGGUGUCUGGUGUGAUAAUGCUCCAUAGAUAAAAGACAUCAAGGUUAGAAACCUUGUCGUCAUCCUUCCGUUGAUUGAUGGUGUUGGAGAUAAGGCGAUGAAUGAGACGGUGUGUGGGUGACCUAAUACUUCCUUCCUGGGCCGACUUCGGGAUGUAUAACUUGUUGGCGAUCAUGUUCCACCAACUCGUACUCGUAACACCAUCGGGGAACACCUUGUGAGAGUGUUCCAAAAAGGCGCGAAAAAUACCAGUCGAGACCAACGGCCGGUCAUAAAUCCCUAAUCGACAAGCAAGAUCAAUAACUGAGCACUGAUGAAACUCGCCCCAAGGCAAAAACUGAAACUCAUCGGGUGGUAAAAAUCGUCUCCUCCACGGAAAGACACUGUGGAGCAAAAUUCCCAGCAAAGCUCCCGAUACACCGGUUCUUGAAUCCUAAAGACUCUGCUCCAUCCAUCACAAAUCAUCGUCUCCCCCUCGUAUGUAAAUUCCUUCAAAAGAUAAGGUGCUAACUCCUCCUCAUACCGAACAUUUUGCAACCAAUCCCAAUCAACCCUGUUGGGUACGUAAAUCUCCUUCUUUCUGACUUCAGCCAACUUCUUCUUCCAUCUCGUCAUGGUAGAGGCCGAUUCAAUCUGAGGAAAAUUUAACCAAGGAAAAUCUCCUUGGUGUCCACUCGAGCGUUGACCUCUGUGAAACAUUGUCCCUGCAAAAAAAACACACGACCCAGAAAACGUAGCAAAUCAUCAAAACAGAUUACAUCUGGGUCCCCGACUGGACUCGUCGAGUCCAUGAACGACUCAACGAGUCGUAUGAACAUCGCAAGUCAGUCGACGAGUCGAUCAAAAUUCGACCAUGAAAACUCAAAAUUUCUUCAAGGGUUUUGUCCGGGGAUGUUCCUAAGAUGUAUUAAAGGAGAAAUGACCAUCCAAAACAACAUAAUUGAUGUAAAAUCAAAACCCUAGAAAUUCACUAAACUUCAAAAUCGGGUAUUAUAUGAAAUUGGCACCCUAGAUCAUCUAAAAAUCAUUGCUUUAAUAGAAUAAAGGAAGAAAUCAAGUACCUUUGGUGAUGGAAAUCAAAAAUCUCUAAGAAAGGUUGAUGAAUGCUUGAGAGAGAACUCAAUGGGGGCGCACGGCGAGUGAUGGGGGAAAAACUGAUUUCAUUAGGGUUAAAACCCUAGUUACCGGUUGUAAAAAAUAAUUUUAAAUUAAUUUUUUUCUGUAAAUAAAACCGACUCGUCGAGUCAGGGUUAGACUCGGCGAGUCUGGUCGCGAUUUUUAAACCCAUCUGGAAUCUGAAUCGACUCAUCGAGUCAUGGUUAGACUCGGCAGUCUAUUGCAAACAAUUCAAAAAUUAUAUAAUUGUGCCAUUCAUUUAGAAAAAGAAAAUUCAUUCCACCCCACACUUAGUCCAUACGCAUUUUCAAGCAGUCAUGUCUGAUGAUUUGGAAGAUUAAAAUCCUAAAAACGAAAAUCAAACAAAACUAAAAAGAUGAAAGAAAGCAAACUAAAAAAAAUGGGUUGCCUCCCGCCAAGCGCUUCUUUUUAAGGAGUCGUUAGCUAGACUCCUUCCCAUCUACGUUUCUUCAUCUUCCUGCAUCAAGAACGCACGCCUAAUCUUUUGUGGUUUGUACUUCGUCUUGUAAUCGUGAAUCUUCUUUUUGUAUGCCCGUCUUAAUCCUUCUCUCUUCUUCCUUAUAGCAUCAUCCUCAGCUGGAUUAAAUUUUCUUUUCCUCGUCUUUUUCUUCUUCACCCCAUUCUUUUGCACCUUCUCUUGCACUCCCUUUUCCUUAAACUUAAUUACUUCAUAUUCGGUGAAAAUGCGUGCUCUAGGUUUGGUAAUGAAUGGUUAAUCUGCAUCAUCUCUUCUAUCCCUUGCUUUUUCUUCUUCUCUAAAUCUUGCAUCAUCUUCAAAUGGACUAUCUUCCUCUUCUUGCAUAAUCAUAUCAAGGCAUGCUACAUGAACGUGUUGACAUUUACUAUCCAUUUCCCCUUCUGCUGCUUGUUCUUCUAAAGGAUGAGGGGAAAUCUUCAUGUCCAGAACAUGCAGGGAGCUGGUAACAAACAGAUCAAAAAUCAUCCAAGUUGCUGGUAAUUUCGACUGGACUCGUCGAGUAUGGAAAAACGACUCGGCGAGUCGGGUCGUAUUCCAUACUUCCUUCUGUGUUUUCCGAGUCGGCUCCUCUCAGCAGCUUUUCUAUCUCCUCCAAGUCUUUGUCAAAAUCUUCAUUUCCUCCAGAGGAUAGCAACAACUUGCUUGGAUCUUCUUCUUGUAAAAAUGCAAGUUCUUUUUGAAGUAUCUCAUCAUCCAAAUCAAUGAAUGAGAUCUCUUCUUUUCUUUCUUCUUCUUGCUUGAUCUCUGGGCAAACUUUAAACACCACUGACUCGUCUCUUACCCUCAACGUUAAUGUGGAUUUACAUACAUCAAUUAAUGCACAUGCGAUGUUCAAAAAUGAUCUCCCCAGAAUAAUUGGAAUUUUGGGGUCUUCUUCCAUAUCAAUUACCACGAAGUCUAUGGGAAAAAUAAAAUUGUCGACCUUAAUGAGGAAAUCUUCACAAACGCCUCUUGGAUGAAUUGUCGUCUUGUCCGCCAAAUGGAUCUUCAUGUCAACUGGUCUUGGCUCUGGUAAAUUUAGUUUCUUGAAGAAAGAAAAGGGCAUUAAGUUGAUACUUGCACCCGAAUCGGUCAACGCUUGAGUGGCAAGUACAUUUCCAAAUUGGCAAGGAAUUAUGAUGCUUCCCGGAUCACCCUUCUUUUCUGGUAGCUCACUCAAUACUAUCUCCGUGAAUUCAGCUAAAUCUUUUCUAGCAGCAAAUAGACCCUUUAACAAGUUGAAGUACUUGGGUGUUUGAAGCAUUGUUUCUACAAAUGGAAUGUUGACUUGAAGGUCUCGAACAUGCUCCAUGAAAGCUUUAUACGCUCUAAUUUUUUCUCUAGGCAUGGAUUUGAUUGGGAAUGACAAAGGGGGAUUAUAAGUCCUCGAGGUAAUGAAAUUUUUGUCCCCAACGCAUGGACUCGUCGAGUCCAUUAGAGGGACUCGGCGAGUUUGGUCGGGUUUAGCUAGAACCGACUCUUCUGCCUUUUCUGUAUUCACCUUGGAGAUCUUCUGUGCAGGUGUGAAAAUUUCUUCAUAACUGAAAGUCACUGCGCUCACAUUCUCCAUUCUCAGAUUGUUUUCGGUGUUACUUGGAAGUUGACCCGGUCUUCUCUCGUUCACUUGAUAUGCAAGUUGUCAUAACUGUUUCUCAAUGUUGAGAAUAGAUGUCUGCUGAUUCCUUAACAUAUUUCUGGUCUCUUGUAUAGCAACAUCAUGAUCAUUGUGCCUUUUUUCGGACGCGGCUAUGAAUCUAGUGAACAUUUCUUCUAGAUCGGCUUUCUUUUCCAUAACCGGUUCUUCCUUUUGAUAGAAUCCCCUUUAUUUCUGCUUGUAUUUCUCCUCCUUAGCCUUCUUGUAUUCUUCAUACGGGAGCCAUUCCUUCUUCGGUUUCCGCCAAUUCUCGUCGUAUCGAUCGCCGCUUGAGUAGAACACUUGAGCUUUCUUGUUUCCAUUUUCAUCCAAGUCACAAUCCUUUGUGAGAUGAGGCCCUCUACAAUUCUCGUAUCCAACUCAAAUAGCAUGGAUUAUUUGAUCCAUCUUUGUCAUCCUUCUAUCUAGACUAUCGAGCUUCGCUAUCACCGCCGCCAUGCCAUCAUUUGCCGAGUUCACUACCCCCCUACUUACUUCAUUUCUUGGAUUGUGGUAUUCUCUAGAAUGCUUAGAGAAUUCUUCAAUUAACUCCUUGAUUACCGGGGGGUGCCUUCUUCGUGAGCGGGCCUUGUGAAUCGAGUAAUUGCCUUGUGGUGACAUUGACUCCAUCAUAGAAAAUGGAGACCUCUUGCUGGCUAUUAAGGUCAUGGUGUGGACAAUUUCUAAGAAUACCUUUGUACCUUUCCCAAGCUUCAUAAAGAGACUCCUCGGGUUGUUGCUCGAAGUUGGCAAUAGCUUUUUUCAACUUAGCUAUUUUGGAAGGUGGGAAAAAGUGGUCUAUGAACUCUUCUUUCAUCUUGGCCCAUGUGGUGACCGAUCCGGGAGGACGUGACUUGAGCCAAUCCUUUGCAACACCCUUGAAUGUGACUGGAAGCAUGCGAAGUAGCCGGGUCUCGCGUGGCACAUUUGGUACAUUGAAGUAGUCUGUCACAUCAUUUACUUCAUCCAAGUGCUUGUAGGCGUCCUCAUGGUCUUUUCCAUAAAAGGGAAUCUCCUUGAGUUGGGCAAGGAUAUGACCCUGUGGCUCGAAAGUAGCGGUAGCGGGAAUUGCGGGCUGCACAAGUCCCGGGCCAGUGUCAUCGCGCAUCCUUUUCUUCCAUUCCCCCAUGGGGGACUUCAUCAAUAUUAGCCAUAGUGACAGCUAAAUCGUCUUCAGAAUCAAAUUCGUGCUCGUAUGUGGGUUCGUCUUCUUCCUCGGUCUCGUACUCGGUGUCUUCUUUGAUUGGGUCUUCGAUUGCCAAGGAGGCACUAGAUGCUCCUGAUUUUCUGCUCCUCUUCUUGCUGAAAACGGACUUGAGGUUCUUUAGUGGCGAAUUUUUUUGAAGAAGCGGAUUCUCCAACGGCUUUUCCUUUGCUCCUUCUUAAUGCAGAUUUCGGGUCUUCAAGAGGAGGGACCAGAGGUGUAUCAGAUCCUCGGGUCAUGAAACAACUGUAAACAAAACCAAGAACGUGUAAAAAGAACAAAAAAUGAAUAAAAAUAAAAACUGUGAAUCAGCGAUGAACUCGCCGAGUCGGCACGAUUGCACUCGGCGAAUUGUAGGAAAAACAGAAAAAAAUUUCUACUUACUUCUAAUUACUAAAACUUAUACUAAUCACUAAAUUACCUAAGAAUUAACUCUGUGUAAGAUAAAUCUUGCACAACGGGAUCGAGUAAACUAGAAUUUAGUGCUAAUUUAGAACCGUUCCCCGACAACGGCGCCAAAAACUUGAUGCGCGUGUAAACUCAACUAGUUUUAAACCUACUUUAAAUUAUAAAAUAAACACACAAAGGCAGUGGACCUAUCAAUUGUGGUGUAGCUAAAGAAGUAGGGUAUCGAACACAGGGAACGGUAAAUUAAAACUAAAAACUAAUUCUAUCUAAAUUAAUUAAUAAGUAGGGGUUUUCUCUAGUUUUACAAGACUAGAAAACUUAAUAACUAUCACUUAAACUAAAAGCUAGAAAAGCAAAGAAUUAACUAGAUUCAAUAAUGAGAAGGACUUCUGUUUAGUUCAACUCAGUUGUUCUUAUGGUUGAUAUUAUGAUAAUAGUGCAAUGGAUUAACUCUUUUGUUGGCUACCGAUUCAAGUGAUUAGAUACGCGUUCACUACACUAAUCCUUAGUGAAUAAAUUAACUCAAACAGUGAUCAGUUGUCUAAUUUAAUUAAAUUCCCUAGAUUAAUUAUUCGGGUUAAUUUAGUCUUGCAAUAGUUAACUAAUUUGGUCCUUUAGUUAACUUCUUGUUGAUAGUCAUCACACAAGCUCACACAUGAAUUUACUCAAUUUUCUUAUUAAUUCUAGUUUCAUGUUCAUUAAUCCUAGACAUAUGAUAAAGUGGUCACAUAUGCAUAUGAGGUUGAUAAUCAAAAGAUGUUCAUACUAUUUAAUUAUCUUCCUAUUAACAGAAAAUUAAUUAUCAUUCAUACACAAGGUUCUUUAGCAAGCUAAAACUAACAAAAAUCACCAACAUUGAAUUAAUCCUAUCAAUAAUCAAACCAUAGUCUCAAUUUUGUAUCCCCAAAUAGAAGUUUAAGAGUUUUAGCUCACGAUUAAAGUAAAUAUCAGCAAAUAAACGAAUUAUAAUUGUCUAGCCAUAGUGGAAAACAAAAGAUUAAGUAGAAUGAUGAAAUUUGCCUCAAAGCUCCUUCGGAAUUGGAUUCUAGCUUGUAUCUUCGUUCUCUAGGGUUCUUCAGUUAAUCUCUCCAGAAGGCUUCCAGAAUUCCCCCUUCUCGAUCAGAGAAGUUAUCUUUAUAUAUACGAAAUGACUCGUCGAGUCAGGUGCCGACUCGCUGAGUCCAUCUCUCAAUCCCCGUAUGCGAGAAGUCUCUGGGUCUUUGAGUCAUUAUCUUCUUGAAUAUUCGAUCAGACUCGCCGAGUAGGUGUUGUUUUUGGUGGUUUUUCUUCUUUGUCCAAUUCUCGAGCUUUCAACCGCUUCUCCUGCUUCCUUUUGCUUUUGAGCUUCACUUUUGGACUGAAAACAUAAUUCAAACACUUUUAAGUACCUAUUGUCCACAUUAUACACAUAAUUAGCUAAAAAUGAAUAAAAAAUAUAUGCUAAAUGUAUGACUAAUUAUGCAAAUAUCAACGAUGACCACUGCGGUUAGAGGAAGACGGUGCGCGACUACUGUUGGCGGCAUACAAGACCGAAGGUGCAGAGGAGUGAUCCGAGUGUGAAGGUGGUGUUGGGCGGUUCGAUUUUAGUCUGCUUUCUUCAACCAGAAGCUUGGAGCGGACCAAAUUAUAGGUUGGAAAUGGGUCUCUGUGGCGAAGAAGCAUGAAUAUGUUUUCGAACUGUGGGGAUAAUCCAUUUAGCAGAUGUGCAAUAAACAACUUUUCAGGGAUAGGGUUCUCGAUAUUGGCCAAGAGAUCAUUGAUGGCCUUCAUUUUUUGACAAUACUAGGCAAUUGAAAGUUCACCUUGUGUCAUGAAUCGUAGUUCGUUUUCAAGUUCAAUGGCCCGGGUAUCUUUAUUUUCACGAAACAAGUCUUCAAGGCUCUGCCAUAUGGAAUGAGCGGUGGAGUUUUUCUUGACUAUGGAUGUGAGGAGAGGCUGAGUGAGAGUGACAUAGAUCCAUGACUUGACAAUGGAGUCAAGGGUAUACCAUUCUUCAUCCUUAUCAGACGUUGGACGUGAAGUCCUGUCGAGAAAUCCAAGCACCCGAUAUCCCCUGCAGUGAGUUUCAAACAAUUCGCGCCAGACAUCAUCGUUUAAUUCAUUGAAGUCGAGAAUAAUAGGAACAUGAGUUUUGUUUUUAACAACACCAUAUGGCUUCUGAUUGGUGGAGGUUUUGGAACCUGAGGAUUCAUCACCAUCGAUGGCUGAUUAUAGAGAGUGUAGAUGGAGAGAGAGGUGAAGAAGAAAGAAGAAAAGAAAACAGGGGAGAGCAGAAGGUUUAUCGACGAUAGAGUUGGUGCACGUCAACAGGAGGAUCGUGAAGAGGAAAUUAGGGUAGAUGGGUUUUUCUCUGAUACCAUAUUGGACGAUAUCUUUGCUCAAUGAAAAGGAAUUAUAAUAACAAUGAUUAAAUACAAGAUUACAUGGCCCCAUGUGCUAGGUAACUGCUGGGCUAAAUACAAAUACACGCUAUAAUGUACAAUACAAUAAUACAUUAAUAGUUUUAAAAAUAAACAAGUUAACAACAUUUUUAUGUCAUACCGGUGUAAAUAAAUUUAAGAACCAAAUUUGCUAAUACCAGCACACAAGCUCGAUUACUAUGAAAUUUUGGCAACUUUCUCAUAAUUAAUACUUGAUUUUUUAAUAUUAAAUAUUAAACAAAUUUCAAUCCAUUCAAUUUAGAGUUAUUUCGGAUUAGUAUUAAUCAAAACAGUUAUGUUGAAUAAAGAGCAUCAGCAUAUUUACACCAUAUAUAAUACAUAGGUAGUGCAUUAAUAAUGCGUUUCCCCAAAUAAUAAAAUUUACAAAACCUUGUAAAUUGUUUUUUUUUUUUAAUAGAAGGAGAUUACUUCCAAAAAAACAAAAAAUAUAACUUUAAUAAUCUUUAUAAUUACUCUAUGUGAGUCUAAUAAUAAAAUUAAACCACUUAAUCACAACCUUUUAUCAAAACUGAAAUUAUCAUGAAAAUUAAGUUGGAACUAUUUAAUGUGAAAGACCCUUACAAACUUUUACGUAAAAUCAACAACAUGACCAACGGUUAAAAAAAAAUUGCCACUUCAUAAGGUCAAUUUACACAUGUCAACUCAUGAUUAUCUGCUAGUUAACCAAAAUCUGCAACAAGAUAUGCUAGGCAUCCACAAUUGUGUUUACACAUCAAAAAUAGUUAAAAAUUAAAAGUAAAAAAACAAAGCCUACUUCAUAGCUCAUAGUCUCUAGUGUUAUCAAAAGUUGGAAAAGACAUUUGGAUAAUACCUGCUGGGUCAGCGAUUUGGGAAAAAAACUCUCCUGCCCUCUUCUUUGUUCUUCUCCAAAGCCACCGAGGUCGGCGCCGUUUUUCCUUCAUUCCGACCUCCGCCUUCUCCGGCCAGAGCUGCGUCAACAAAGGUAAGCAACCUCUUUUUUUUAACCAGUAGUUCGAAUGGCUAUUCUUACGUUUUUGUUUAUAAUGUAAGAAAUCAGAAUUUGUUGCUUUUAUGGGGUUAUGAAAAUCUGAAUCAGAAUUCUUGUUGGUAGUUUGGUAUGUAUGAAAUCAAAACGUAUUGUAUUUGUCAAGGUUUGAGGAAUUGGUUGAAAAGGUUAUUGUAAUACAUCAAUCUUAACUGUUUACAUUAUUUCAGUUUUAGUUCCAAUUUACCCUCUGUUUUGACUUUCCUAAACUCAGAACUGCAUUCCCACUUUCUUAUGAGAUGCAUAUAGCUGGUUUUCUUGUGCUUUGGGUAUAUUAUCUGGGAUUAAUUGUGAGUUCUAUUACUGAAGAUCCUUAUCAUGUUGAUGAUGAUUAUGCUUCUAACAAAAUAGAUGAAAUGGUGGCUGAUGAUGAAUGGAAUUCAUUUUGUAUAAUGAUAUUAUGUGGUUAUUUUUGGUAUAGCUUUAUUGUAAUUGCUUGAGUUUGUAUUUAUACAAUCUUAUUUCAUUCUAAUUUAUAAAUACUUUAUUAAAUCUAAAUUUUGAAUGUUGUAGUCAAGAAUCAAAUAUUUAUUGUUAUGAACUUAUGAUACUUGAAUUCAUGUGGGAUGUUGGUGAUCUUUGCUCAUACACACAUGCAUACAUAUCAGGUGUUAAAUGGAGAUGAAGGCUAUGAUUUUGGAGGCUGAUAUGGAGAUAAGGGUAAAAUUGUCAUUUUUCAUCAGUAGCACAUUAGUCGGAUGUACAAUCAAAUAACAUGAUUUCUUACUUGGUCAGGAUUUUUUACCUAGUUAGACCUUUCCCAGUCAUCACUCAACAAUCGUAGCCCUAAAACCAUUAAUUAACCCCGAAGACUUGGACGAAAUUCCUUGAUAAAUCUGGUUUGUUGAAGCAACCAUUCACGAGGCAAGAGAAUACUGUGAGUCACACAUUGCCUUCUCCGGUAAGUUGAAUUGAUUCGUCGCUAUUACUCCAUCACACACACACACAGUUGAAUUAGUUCUUAACACUUCCGUGUUAUUCUCGAAUUUGCAUUACAAAAAUCUCAAAUCUGCAAAAAGUCCGAACAACAUCGAUGACUAUAUCAUAAAAUACUUAAACAAAGAAUCAAUAUCUACUUUUGUUGGUUGAGAAUAUAUUAAAAGACAUUGUACUUUGUAGGUUGAAAUAUAGCUGUAUAAUUAGUGUCAUUUAUUUUACUUUGAUAAAAAUAUAUUAUUAUUUUACAAAUAAGUAUUCAAUUAAUCUCACUUCAAAAGUCAACAAACUCCAAUAAUAAUAUUAUUUUGAUCUUACCUCAC
rnacentral:lncRNA from 1 species